rnacentral:snRNA from 1 species
AAGUAAUCUCUCGUCUCUAGG